rnacentral:lncRNA from 1 species
AAUAUAGGAUUUUUCAGCCCUUGUAUUUUAGGGCACCUAGACUAGUUUUUGUAUUAGGGGUAGUUUUGUAAUUUCACAUGCUCUAAGUGGAUAUUUGAUGUGUGUGGUUGGAAAUAAAUUUAAUUGAAUUGGUAGAAGCCCAAAUCAAUUAAAUUUUAGAGGGGGAGGUGAGCAUUUGCUUACUACACCCCAUUGCCACAUCAUAUAGUCACACUUUGUGCAUGUUCUUCACGCUUUUCAUGCCUCAUGACACCUAAGCACACUUAGUGGAGAAUCUUGGAAUUGAUCUUGGAUUAGUGGGCUGAACCAUAACUAAAAUUCACUAAUCAUAAUUAGUGAAAUUUUGGCUCCAAAGUUUGGCUCCACAAAUUCAAUUUCAAAUUCAAGUGAAAUUUGAAUUUCCCUCCAAUUUUUUGUGACACUUAGGCUAUAAAUAGAGGUCAUGUGUGUGCAUUUUUUUCAACUUUGAUCAUUUGAAUAUUAAAAUUCAGAUUUCAGAGCUCAUUUAGAG